rnacentral:lncRNA from 1 species
ACAAGAUAGAUAGGACAACUCGAAUGGAAUCUAAGAGUCAAAACAAUAACCAAUCUCAUAUUUGUCCACAAAAGCUUCUACAAUACCACAAUAUCAAAUUAGGUCGGGACAUGCCCCCAACCUUGACCAAAAGAAUCCAAAGUAAGAUACUAAAGAAACAUAAUGAAACUAAAGAAAUGACAGGCCUUCCGGAAGAUGGAGUCUCACCACUUCAAAGCAGACCAACCGACGAACCGUAUCAUCUAACAUUGCACACGACAAAUAGAAAAUUCCUAGAAUCCUAUAUCAUGAAACGAUGCAGCGUCCGGAGACGGUUAGUGGGAUGAGCACUAGCAUGUCACUCGGGAAAAGGAUAAAAUAAUGCCAUGUCCAAAUUCAAUCAAAACCACGUGUACAUGUUCACAUACAUACAUACAUACAUAUGUAUAUAUAUAUAUAUAUAUAUAUAUAUAUAUAAGAUGCCGGGAUAGGAAUCAGGGUUAUAAACAUGAGGGCUUAAAACCAUUAACCUGACUGUGUAGUUCUAUCCGUCUUAAGGGCACCCACGGACUAUAUGGGUUCAACUCUCCCUGCUGAAAGGGCCCAGUGCGUAUAGCCACACGAAUCAGGGAAAUCCAAGGAAGGGCCAAAGCCACCGAAGCUCCAACCAUUUCAAUAAGAUAUAUAAUGUGUGAACUAUGCACACGGUCAUAUAUAUUCCCCUCUCCGACAAACAUGGUUUUUUCAAUAUCAGUCCCCCCGGGACCUCCACCUUCACGGCGAGCUACACAACCCCUAUUAAGUCCAAAUUAAAAUAUUUGCACAUAAUUUCAAUCCGUUAACCCCAGGAGUCAUUCGUUACCAUUGGUCUCGUCAUAGCAAUUAUAUUAUGCUUGCAAGCUAACCAUUCAUUUCAUUCCAAAAUCAAUUAUCCAAUUUGACUCCCAAAUUUCAAUUUAAAACCAAACCAUGGCCACCAAGGUCUUUCAAAAUCGUUUUAUGUUCCAUUAACCUCUUAUGCAAUGCAAAUUUCCAAGAGUAAGUUAAAUUCAUGUAUAUAUCCAUGUUUCAAAACUUAAUUACAAAAGUAGGUUGAGGAUAAUACCAAUUCCAAAUCAAAAUCUAUCCAAUUGGGGAAAUCUACGACCCCAUUCCAUCCACCAUACCCAUGCACCCAAUUAGUUUCAAAUUUUUUUUAUCAAAUAAAGCAUAAGCAAUUCAUUUAAACCAUGAAAUCCAAUUCAAGCAAUAACCAUCCAAAAACCCUCGACCCAAUUGCAAAUCGAACCUUUAAAUCACAUGGAUAAUAAUAAAAAACACAUGCUUUAUAAAAAUUAAGUUAGGGAUGAGAGAUAUAUCUGGAUACCGAAGAUAUUUGGAGAGGAAAUCACAAUUUGAACCCUGGAUGCUUAAUCCCUUGAAACCCUAGCUUGUUUUUGACUUUGAUGUUUGAGAGGAGUGACGAGAGGUUUUUGAUUUGAUAAAAGUCGAAAAAGGACCCUUAGGGUGUUUUGAGGUCGUGGGAAUAGUGUUAAGGAGUGAAAAGACCAAUUUGUCCUUAAUUAAAAUGGGCAGGAAAAGGGCUCCCAGUCGCUAUGGGUCGGGUAACGACUCAUGAUGACAGGUCACGAGUCGUUGCCUGAGCAGAAACUUUGGGCAAUCACACUGACAUGACCAUGAGUCGUACAUCACGACUUGUUACCAAACUCCACGACUCGUGACG